rnacentral:lncRNA from 1 species
CUGUUAUUUCGUUUUCCCACCGGUUUUUCGCGUAAUGCGACAACUUGCUGAAGGAAUUGGCCAAAUCUGGAAGUAAUAUGAGAGGGAGGGAAACGAUCGUUCCCAAACAUUCAAACCAAGCGCCUAAAUCUAUGACCGAAAUUCUCCUUCAUCGUUACGGCGAAGCUCAUCGUCAACGGUGUUAGAGCUCCAAAAUACGUUACAU